CGUAGGUGCAAGCGUUGUCCGGAAUUAUUGGGCGUAAAGAGCUCGUAGGCGGUUUGUCGCGUCUGCUGUGAAAACGCGAGGCUCAACCUCGCGCCUGCAGUGGGUACGGGCAAACUAGAGUGCGGUAGGGGAGAUUGGAAUUCCUGGUGUAGCGGUGGAAUGCGCAGAUAUCAGGAGGAACACCGAUGGCGAAGGCAGAUCUCUGGGCCGUAACUGACGCUGAGGAGCGAAAGCAUGGGAGCGAACAGGAUU
rnacentral:rRNA from 1 species